rnacentral:misc_RNA from 1 species
GAUGAAGAACGUAGCGAAAUGCGAUACGUAAUGUGAAUUGCAAAUUCAGUGAAUCAUCGAGUCUUUGAACGCACAUUGCGCCCCCUGGUAUUCCGGGGGGCAUGCCUGUCCGAGCGUCAUUGCUGCCCUCAAGCACGGCUUGUGUGUUGGGCCCCGUCCUCCGAUCCCGGGGGACGGGCCCGAAAGGCAGCGGCGGCACCGCGUCCGGUCCUCGAGCGUAUGGGGCUUUGUCACCCGCUCUGUAGGCCCGACCGGCGCUUGCCGAUCAACCCAAAUUUUUUAUCCAGGUUGACCUCGGAUCAGGUAGGGAUACCCGCUGAACUUAAGCAUAUCAAUAAGCGGAGGA